AAGUCAUGUGCAGGUGAACAUGAACCUGUCAAGAUCCACCCCAACGCCUUCCUAACUUUCCUGCAGCAUAGCACACAUUUCAUUUUUCCUCUCAUUUUUCUCAAGAUCAAUGGGGCAGCGAACAUCUGAGUUCACAGUAAAGAAUGAACCUGUAAACAACAAAAUAAGCCAGGCACAGGAAGACAAAUGCUGCAUGAUCUCACUUAUAUAUGUGUAAUCUGAAAAUGUUGAACUCAUAGAUAUGAUAUCCUCGUACUGACAAGUGUGUUACAGCUGCCUACGGUAUUCAGUACAGUAACAUGCUGUACAGGUUUGCAGCCUAGGGGCAGUAGACUGUCCCAUAUAGCCUGGGUGUGCAGUAGAUGUACCAUCCAAGUUUACAUGUAGAUGCUCGAAACAGUGGGAUCCCUCCAGGACAAUAAGGAGAGAGAUGUGGUCAGUAUACGGCACUCUGAAAGACCCUGAGAAAUUAUGGACCUGCAGAACCAGCCCUGGGACUGCCAG